rnacentral:rRNA from 1 species
AGUGAACGCUGGCGGUAGGCCUAACACAUGCAAGUCGAACGGCAGCACAGUAAGAGCUUGCUCUUACGGGUGGCGAGUGGCGGACGGGUGAGGAAUACAUCGGAAUCUACUUUUUCGUGGGGGAUAACGUAGGGAAACUUACGCUAAUACCGCAUACGACCUACGGGUGAAAGCAGGGGAUCUUCGGACCUUGCGCGAUUGAAUGAGCCGGUGUCGGAUUAGCUAGUUGGCGGGGUAAAGGCCCACCAAGGCGACGAUACGUAGCUGGUCUGAGAGGAUGAUCCGCCACACUGGAACUGAGAGGCCGUCCAGGCUCCGACGGGCGGCCGCAGUUGCUACUAUUGGACACAGUGCGCAAGCCUGCUCCAGCCAUGCCGCGUUGGUGAAGAAGGCCCUCGGGUUGUAAAGCCCUUUUGUUGUGAAAGAAAAGCAGCAGGUUAAUACCCCGCUGUUCUGCCGGUACCCAAAGAAUAAGCACCGGCUAACUUCGU